rnacentral:tmRNA from 1 species
GGGCCCGUACUGGUAUCGACAGGAUGGUGAGAUUUCAGAUUGCGUGUCGUGGUUGGUCUGUUGGCCACGUUAAAAGCAGACCAAACGCUAAGAGGCGCUCCUCUUGCUCUAGCUGCCUAACCCAAAAGGUUAGCAGCCCGCGAAGUUAGCCCCAGUCGGAAGGGCUUUCUAAGCGGUCGUCAAAUCCGACUCGGCGCAGCCCACCGCCCUGUACUGCUGAGCCUAAAUAAGUUCUGGGCUGGUUUGCUGCAUAUCCCGCUAGGUGGAGAUGCGCAAACGAGAUUAAAUACCUAGAUACACACGUAGACGUCUGUUAUCAAUCUGUCUCUGGACGCGGGUUCGACUCCCGCCGGGUCCACUU